rnacentral:lncRNA from 1 species
UGGACAAUAAGCACUGAAUAAUAUUCCCAAAAUAACAUUAAGACGAACAUAGAACAAAAUGAACAGGAAAUGAAGAAUCGGACCUUAAUGGCAAAAAUUCUUUCCAAAUUAAAGAAAGCUUCGGACUUAAUGUUUUGUCCAAACGAAGACCAACAACAUUCAACAACAAAAUCGAGUAUCAAUCAGAAGAAAUCAACAAAAACGUGAAUCAAAACCCGAACCGGAAACCUCGUCGAAUUUGGAACAGACUGCCUUCAAUAGUGACCACCACAUGAUUUAAUGGCAAUCUCGUCGUCUUCCGGCGAGCUGGGAAGCGGCCUGAGAUUAUCGUUCACCCUGUCGAGUAGUAAAAAUAUCCGUCACCGGAGAUCAAUACCGAUGACAAUGGUGGUGGGAUGGGAUAGCAGCAGUAAAAGUGGAUGACAUGUUUUGUGAUUUUGAGCCGGAGUCGUUCGUGUGAGUUGCUGCUGCUGAGUUUUCAGGGGUGUCGUUGAGAUGCAGACCCGAUGGGGUUUUGUCUGUAGCUGUGGAGAUUUGGAGAUUGGGGUUGUUGGUUUCAGGGGCUGCUGUUUUUUGUUUAGGAUUUUGAAGAAGAUGACUAAGGGGAGGGGUUGUUUGGAGUAGAUGAAGCCA